CGCCGGAAACUCUGCGACUGCAAAGCGGCGAACCCCGUCAGGUUCGGAAGAAAGCAGCGGCAGUCUCUUUUGCGGUGUGCCGAGAACAUUUCGGCGGGU
rnacentral:SRP_RNA from 1 species